AUAUAAAAUAGAACUGUGUAAUGAAUGCACCAAUCUCAUCUGAUCCUGGAAGCUAAGCAGGUUUGGGCCUGGUUAGUACUUGGAUGGGAGACUGCCUGGGAAUAUCAGGUGUUAUAAGUU
rnacentral:rRNA from 1 species